GCCUGGGUGGUUCAGUCGGUUGAGCAUCUGACUUCAGCUCAGGUCAUGAUCUCACGGUUUGUGAGUUCAAGUCCCACAUUGGGCU
rnacentral:tRNA from 1 species